rnacentral:tRNA from 1 species
UUAUUAAUAGUUUAUAAAAAAACAUUGUAUUUGUAAUACAAAUAAGUAGCAGUAUUUCUACUUAAUAAA